rnacentral:snoRNA from 13 species
AGAUAACUUCAAAGAGGGCUUGCGGAGCUGCAAAACCAAGAGCUUUUAAUGUAUUACUGAAUAUUGAAGUUCUCCAUAGGAUGCCAUAGUCACUCAGUAGUGCUAUAUCUUCCUAAGCAGAUAUAAGA